AGGAUCAUUACCGAAUUGUUAACACGAGUUGUUGCUGGUCCUCAAAUGGGGGCAUGUGCACNCUCUGUUUAUAACAUCUCCACUCACACCUGUGCACACUCCAUAGUUCCGUGGCUUUGGGGGGGUUCUGUUCUCUUCCUGCCUGCUGCGGUUCUAUGCAUUUACACAUAUACACACUGUAAUAAAGUUUUAUGGAAAGGAUGUCGCGUUUAACGCAAAUAAAAUACAACUUUCAGCAACGGAUCUCUUGGCUCUCGCAUCGAUGAAGAACGCAGCGAAAUGCGAUAAGUAAUGUGAAUUGCAGAAUUCAGUGAAUCAUCGAAUCUUUGAACGCACCUUGCGCCCUUUGGCUAUUCCGAAGGGCAUGCCUGUUUGAGUAUCAUGAACAUCCUCAACUCCUCAUGGCUUGCCAUGAUGAGCUUUGGACUUUGGAGGUCUUUGCUGGCUUGUGGGUCAGCUCCUCUCAAAUGGAUCAGCUUACCAGUGUUCGGUGGCAUCACAGGUGUGAUAACUAUAUAUCUACGCUUGUGGCUUUCCGCUGGGUAACCUUCGUCACUGAAGGUUCACUGGGGCUCAUAAACGUCUCUCCUCAGUGAAGACAGCUCUUUGAACGUUUGAUCUCAAAUCAGGUAGGACUACCCGCUGAACUUAAGCAUAUCAAUAAGCGGAGGAAAAGAAACUAACAAGGAUUCCCCUAGUAACUGCGAGUGAAGCGGGAUAAGCUCAAAUUUAAAAUCUGGCGUGCCUC
rnacentral:rRNA from 1 species